UGAAGAGCAAAAUGGUGUUCAAUUAAUGAAACCAAUCGUCGCAGGUUCGAAUCCUGCACGACCCACCAAUUUCAGCAUUUAACUCAGAUGCUGAACGUGAAGGAUAACGUUGCGUCAGCAACGGCCCGAAGGGCGAGGCAAAGCCGAGUCAUCCUGCACGACCUACCA
rnacentral:sRNA from 1 species